CCUUCUACUCAUUAUACUUAUGGCAGUAAGGGAAGCUCCUUAAUUAAGCUGGAUUUAGACCAGGAUGCGGUUGUGCUAACCAGAUAUUCAUGUUAAGGAAGGUAUUGGAACAUCGCUUCAAAUAUUUGCAAUCCACCUUUAUGUAUUUCAUCGAUGAUGGCAUGGUCUAGUACCGGCGACAUAUCUAUCAAGUAUCUGCCUUAUCAACUUUCGAUGGUAGUUUAUGUGCCUACCAUGGUUGUAACGGGUAACGGAGAAUAAGGGUUCGACUCCGGAGAGGGAGCCUGAGAAUUCAACUGAUAGAGCGGCACUUUGGAGGAUGAUGGAACGCAACGAUUUUUCAGAGAAG
rnacentral:ncRNA from 1 species